rfam:Pongo abelii chromosome 8.
AGCUUUGUGCAGUGGCAGAACAUAGCCAAUGAGGUUUAUCUGAGGUGUAAUUAUUGCUAAUUGAAAAAAAAAAUGAAGACA